AACGAACGCUGGCGGCAUGCCUAACACAUGCAAGUCGAACGAGACCUUCGGGUCUAGUGGCGCACGGGUGCGUAACGCGUGGGAACCUGCCCUUAGGUUCGGAAUAACUCCCCGAAAGGGGUGCUAAUACCGGAUAAUGUCUUCGGACCAAAGAUUUUUCGCCUUUGGAUGGGCCCGCGUUGGAUUAGCUAGUUGGUAGGGUAAAAGCCUACCAAGGCGACGAUCCAUAGCUGGUCUGAGAGGAUGAUCAGCCACACUGGGACUGAGACACGGCCCAGACUCCUACGGGAGGCAGCAGUGGGGAAUAUUGGACAAUGGGCGAAAGUCUGAUCCAGCAAUGCCGCGUGAGUGAUGAAGGCCUUAGGGUUGUAAAGCUCUUUUACCCGGGAUGAUAAUGACAGUACCGGGAGAAUAAGCUCCGGCUAACUCCGUG
rnacentral:rRNA from 1 species